UACGUAGGGUGCGAGCGUUAAUCGGAAUUACUGGGCGUAAAGUGUGCGCAGGCGGCCGAGCAAGUCGAGUGUGAAAGCCCCGAGCUUAACUUGGGAAUUGCGCUCGAAACUACUUGGCUGGAGUGUGGCAGAGGAAGGUGGAAUUCCAGGUGUAGCGGUGAAAUGCGUAGAGAUCGGGAAGAACACCAGUGGCGAAAGCGCUCUGCUGGACUGCAACUGACACUGAGGGACGAAAGCUAGGGGAGCGAAAGGG
rnacentral:rRNA from 1 species